UACAGAGGGUGCGAGCGUUGUUCGGAAUUACUGGGCGUAAAGCGCGCGCAGGCGGCCUUUUAAGUCUGCUGGUGAAAUGCCGGGGCUCAACCCCGUGCCCGCCACAGAUACUGGGAGGCUGGAGACGAGUAGAAGCAAGCGGAAUUCCGGGUGUAGCGGUGGAAUGCGUAGAGAUCCGGAAGAACACCGGAGGCGAAGGCGGCUUGCUGGGCUCGGUCUGACGCUGAGGCGCGAAAGCGUGGGGAGCGAACAGG
rnacentral:rRNA from 1 species